rnacentral:rRNA from 1 species
CCAAUAGCGUAUAUUAAAGUUGUUGCAGUUAAAAAGCUCGUAGUUGAAUUUUGGGUUUGGCCGGUUGGUCCGUUCUUGUAACGAGUACUGGUCGGUUGGGCCUCACCGCUUGGGGAAGGGUAAUGCACUUAAUUGGGUGUUGCUCGGAGCCAAGACCUUUACCUUGAAAAAAUUAGAGUGUUUAAAGCAGGCAUAUGCCAGAAUACAUUAGCAUGGAAUAAUAGAAUAGGACAACGAUUCUAUUUUGUUGGUUUCUAGGACCGUUGUAAUGAUUAAUAGGGAUAGUUGGGGGCAUUAGUAUUCAAUUGUCAGAGGUGAAAUUCUUGGAUUUAUUGAAGACUAACUACUGCGAAAGCAUUUGCCAAGGAUGUUUUCAUUAAUCAAGAACGAAAGUUAGGGGAUCGAAGACGAUCAGAUACCGUCGUAGUCUUAACCAUAAACUAUGCCGACUAGGGAUCGGGCGAUGUUGUUUCAAUGACUCGCUCGGCACCUUAUG